GCCUCAGUAACGGCGAGUGAAGCGGCAACAGCUCAAAUUUGAAAUCUGGAGCCUUCGGCUUCCGAGUUGUAAUUUGAAGAGGAUGUUUCGGUGCGACCUGGGCCUAAGUUCCUUGGAACAGGACGUCAUGGAGGGUGAGAAUCCCGUACAUGGCUGCAGGUUUGCUUCUAUGUGAAACUCCUUCGAAGAGUCGAGUUGUUUGGGAAUGCAGCUCAAAAUGGGUGGUAAAUUUCAUCUAAAGCUAAAUAUUGGCGGGAGACCGAUAGCGCACAAGUAGAGUGAUCGAAAGAUGAAAAGCACUUUGAAAAGAGAGUUAAACAGUACGUGAAAUUGUUGAAAGGGAAGCGCUUGCAAUCAGACUCGCCUUCAGUUGAUCAGCCUUCCUUCUGGUUGGUGCACUCUGCUGUUGGCGGGCCAGCAUCAGUUGGGGCGGUGGGACAAAGGCGGCAGGAAUGUGGCUCGCUUCGGUGAGUGUUAUAGCCUGCUGUGUCAUGCCACCAGUCCCGACUGAGGUCCGCGGUUCGCCUAGGAUGCUGGCUUAAUGGUUGUAAGCGACCCGUCUUGAAACACGGACCAAGGAGUCUAACAUCUAUGCGAGU
rnacentral:rRNA from 1 species